rnacentral:lncRNA from 1 species
AUCUCUUGAGACUUCACUUCAGCUUCACUGACUUCUGGAUUCUCCUCUUGAGUAAAAGGACUCAGCCAACUAUGAAGUUUUUUGUUUUUGCUUUAAUCUUGGCUCUCAUGCUUUCCAUGACUGGAGCUGAUUCACAUGCAAAGGUAAGACAUUUUCAUUUACUGGAAAACUUGAUAAUUAAUCAUAUAUUGAAUUUUUAAUCUUUUCUUUUUAUUUCAUAGAGACAUCAUGGGUAUAAAAGAAAAUUCCAUGAAAAGCAUCAUUCACAUCGAGGCUAUAGAUCAAAUUAUCUGUAUGACAAUUGAUAUCUUCAGUAAUCACGGGGCAUGAUUAUGGAGGUAAGCUGACUCUAGUUACUUUUCUUUCUAGAAGUAUCAACACUGACAGUUAAAACAAGGAAAAAUUAAAAAAAAGCCAUUAAGCCAACAAUCAUUCCAGUUUAAGAAAUGUAGCGUGGGUUAGCUCUUUGAAGUGUGUUGAUUUAUAUAGAUGCUUCUGACUUUGUAGAUAUGUGGUGUUAUUUCUGAGGUCUCUGUUCUGUUCCAUUGGUCUAUAUGUCUGUUUUGGUACCGGUACCAUGCUGUUUUGGUAACCGUAGCCUUGUAGGGUAGUUUGAAGUCAAGUAGUGUGA